CAUAACCCCAUACGUGACCCCAUAACCCCAUACAUGACCCCAUACCCCACCCCAUAACCGACUCCAUAACCCCAUACGUGACCCCAUAACCCCAUACAUGACCCCCCAAUGGCAUGGGAGGAUUUGGGAGUGGGCGGGGCUUAUGGGAGUGGGGCAGUGGGGGCAACAUAUGGGAGUCGAUCUAUGGGGCAGAGGUGCAUUCUAUAGGGCAGCGGGGCCAAUCUAUGGGGCAGAGGUGCAUUCUAUGGGGCAGCGGGGCCAAUCUAUGGGGUGCAGUUUCAAUCUAUGGGGCGGAGCUGCAUUCUAUGGGGCAGUGGGGCCAAUCUAUGGGGCAUAGGCGCAUUCUAUGGGGCAGAGUUCCAUUCUAUGGGGCAGUGAAGCCAAUCUAUGGGGUGGAGCUUCAAUCUGUGGGGCAGAAGUGCAAUCUAUGGGUCAGUGGUUCCCUUCUAUGGGGCAGUGGGGCACUCUAUUGGGCAGCAGGUUGAAUCUAUGGGGCAGAGCUCCAUUCUAUGGGGCAGAGGGGCAGAUCGAUGGGGCAGAGCUCCAUUCUAUGGGGCAGAGGGGCCAAUCUAUGGCGCACAGCUCCGUUCUAUGGGGAAACGGGGCCAAUCUAUGGGGCAGAACUCCGUUCUAUGGGGCAGAAAGGCCAAUCUAUGGGGCAGAGCUCUGUUCUAUGGGGCAGCGGAGCCGAUCUAUGGGGCAGAGUUGUGUUCUAUGGGGCAGAGGGGCUGAUCUAUGGGGCAGAACUCUGAUCUAUGGGACAGAACUCCAUUCUGUGGGGCAGAAAGGCCAAUCUGUGGGGCAGAGCUCCAUUACAUGGGGCAGCAGGGUUGAUCUAUGAGGCAGAGCUGUGUUCUAUGGGGCAGAGGAGUCGAUCUAUGGGCCAGAAUUCUGAUCUAUGGGGCAGAACUCCAUUCUAUGGGGCAGCGGGGCCGAUCUAUGGGGCAGAACUCCAUUCUAUGGGGCAGCGGGGCCGAUCUAUGGGGCAGAACUCCAUUCUAUGGGGCAGCGGGGCCGAUCUAUGGGGCGGGGCUCCGUUCCGUGUGGCAGCGUUGCGGACGGAGGCCGUCCCACAGGCGACAUGGCCGCCCUGCUGCGGUCGGGGCUGAGCGCGGGGCGGGCCGUGCUGCUGAACGCCGUGGCGGCGCUGCCCGCUUUGAUCGGCGUGGGAGCCGGGCUGGCCAUCGGAACCGACGCGGAAGCGCUGAGAUGGGUGUGCGGGGCGGCGGCGGGGAUCUUCCUCUAUGUGGCGCUGUGCGAUAUGAUGCCCGCCCUGCUGCAGGAGCGCAGCGCCCGGCCGUGGCUGCUGCUGGGCCUGCACUGCCUUGGGCUGAUCAGCGGCUGGGCGGCGCUGGCUGGGCUGGCGCUGCUGGAGGACAGCGGGGCUCUGUGACACAACUGGGACCAACUGGGACAAACUGGGACCAAUUGGGACCAACUGGACACAACUGGGACCUACUGGGACACAACUGGGACCAACUGGGACCUACUGGGACAAACUGGGCACUACUGGGUAUAAUUGGACACUGCUGGAGGACAGCGGGGCUCUGUGACACAACUGGGACCUACUGGGACAAACUGGGACCUACUGGGACCAACUGGGCACUACUGGGUAUAAUUGGACACUGCUGGAGGACAGCGGGGCUCUGUGACACAACUGGGACCUACUGGGACCAAUUGGGACCAACUGGACACAACUGGGACCUACUGGGACCAACUGGGACCAAUUGGGACCAACUGGACACAACUGGGACACAACUGGGACCUACUGGGACCAAUUAGGACCUACUGGGACCAACUGGGCACAACUGGGUAUAAACGGACACUGCUGGAGGACAGCAGGGCUCUGUGACACAACUGGGACCAACUUGGACCUACUGGGAUCUACUGGGACCUACUGGGACCAACUGGGGCUUACUGGGACCAACUGGAACCUACUGGACUUCACUGGGUACUACUGGACACUACUGGGCACUGCUGGGCACUACUGGAAGGACAGGGGGGCUCUGUGACACAAGUGGGACCUACUGGGCACUACUGGGACCUACUGGGCACUACUGGGACCAACUGGGCACUACUGGCAAAACUGGCACUACUGGGAGCAACUGGGGACAACUGGCACUACUGGGCACUACUGGGAGGACAGUGGGGCUCUGUGACACAACUGGGACCUACUGGGCACUACUGGGAGGACAGUGGGGCUCUGUGACACAACUGGGACCUACUGGGCACUACUGGGAGGACAGUGGGGCUCUGUGACACAACUGGGACCUACUGGGCACUACUGGGAGGACAGUGGGGCUCUGUGACACAACUGGGACCUACUGGGCACUACUGGGAGGACAGUGGGGCUCUGUGACACAACUGGGACCUACUGGGCACUACUGGGAGGACAGUGGGGCUCUGUGACACAACUGGGACCUACUGGGCACUACUGGGACCAACUGGGCACAACUGGGUAUAAACGGACACUGCUGGAGGACAGCAGGGCUCUGUGACACAACUGGGACCAACUUGGACCUACUGGGAUCUACUGGGACCUACUGGGACCAACUGGGGCUUACUGGGAC
rnacentral:lncRNA from 1 species